UAGGGAAUCUUCGGCAAUGGGCGAAAGCCUGACCGAGCAAUGCCGCGUGAGGGAUGAAGGCCUUCGGGUUGUAAACCUCUGUCAUCGGGGAAGAAAGCAGAGAUCAGGAAAUGGGUUUCUGUUGACGGUACCCGAGGAGGAAGUCACGGCUAAUUACGUGCCAGCAGCCGCGGUAAUACGUAAGUGGCAAACGAUGUCCGGAAUCACUGGGUGUAAAGCGCAUGUAGGCGGCUUUGUAAGUCUGAGGUGAAAUCCACGGGCCUAACCCGUGAACUGCCUUGGAAACUGCAGAGCUAGAGGACCAGAGGGGAAAGUGGAAUUUCGGGUGUAGCGGUGAAAUGCGUAGAUAUCCGAGAGAACACCGAUGGCGAAGGCAGCUUUCUGGCUGGCACCUGACGCUGAGAUGCGAAAGCUAGGGGAGCGAACGGGAUUAGAUACCCCCGUAGUCC
rnacentral:rRNA from 1 species